rnacentral:rRNA from 1 species
GACGUAGGGUGCGAGCGUUGUCCGGAUUUAUUGGGCGUAAAGAGCUCGUAGGCGGUCUGUCGCGUCGGCUGUGAAAUCCCCGAGGCUCAACCUCGGGUCUGCAGUCGAUACGGGCAAACUAGAGUAUUGCAGGGGAGACUGGAAUUCCUGGUGUAGCGGUGAAAUGCGCAGAUAUCAGGAGGAACACCGGUGGCGAAGGCGGGUCUCUGGGCAAUAACUGACGCUGAGGAGCGAAAGCGUGGGGAGCGAACAGG